rnacentral:rRNA from 1 species
GCAUCGAUGAAGAACGCAGCGAAAUGCGAUACUUGGUGUGAAUUGCAGAAUCCCGUGAACCAUCGAGUCUUUGAACGCAAGCUGCGCCCGAUGCCAUUAGGUUGAGGGCACGUCUGCCUGGGCGUCACAUAU